GGGCUCACACAAGCGGUGGAGGAUGUGGCUUAAUUCGAGGCUACGCGAAGAACCUUAUCCUGGUCUUGACAUGCUUGGGAAUACCCGUGAAAGCGGGUAGUGCCUUUCGGGGAGCCCUUGCACAGGUGCUGCAUGGCUGUCGUCAGCUCGUGUCGUGAGAUGUCGGGUUAAGUCCCUUAACGAGCGAAACCCUUAUCUCUAGUUGCCAGCGUGUAAUGGCGGGGACUCUAGCGAAACUGCCGGUGCAAACCGUGAGGAAGGUGGGGAUGACGUCAAAUCAUCACGGCCCUUACGUUCUGGGCUACACACGUGCUACAAUGGCCGGUACAGAAAGCAGCCACUAUGCGAAUAGGAGCUAAUCUUUAAAACCGGUCUCAGUUCGGAUCGCAGUCUGCAACUCGACUGCGUGAAGCUGGAAUCGCUAGUAAUCGGAUAUC
rnacentral:rRNA from 1 species